CCUACGGGAGGCUGCAGUGGGGAAUAUUGGACAAUGGGGGGAACCCUGAUCCAGCCAUGCCGCGUGUGUGAAGAAGGCCCUCGGGUUGUAAAGCACUUUCAGUGAGGAAGAACGCCUGGUGGUUAAUACCCAUCAGGAAAGACAUCACUCACAGAAGAAGCACCGGCUAAACUCCGUGCCAGCAGCCGCGGUAAUACGGAGGGUGCGAGCGUUAAUCGGAAUUACUGGGCGUAAAGCGCGCGUAGGUGGCUUGAUAAGCCGGUUGUGAAAGCCCCGGGCUCAACCUGGGAACGGCAUCCGGAACUGUCAAGCUAGAGUGCAGGAGAGGAAGGUAGAAUUCCCGGUGUAGCGGUGAAAUGCGUAGAGAUCGGGAGGAAUACCAGUGGCGAAGGCGGCCUUCUGGACUGACACUGACACUGAGGUGCGAAAGCGUGGGUAGCAAACAGGAUUAGAUACCCUAGUAGUC
rnacentral:rRNA from 1 species